rnacentral:rRNA from 1 species
AACGAACGCUGGCGGCAGGCCUAACACAUGCAAGUCGAACGCACCGCAAGGUGAGUGGCGCACGGGUGAGUAACACGUGGGAAUGUACCCUUUGGUUCGGAAUAACGUUUGGAAACGAACGCUAAUACCGGAUGAGCCCUGUGGGGGAAAGAUUUAUCGCCAAAGGAGCAGCCCGCGUCUGAUUAGCUAGUUGGUGGGGUAAAGGCCUACCAAGGCGACGAUCAGUAGCUGGUCUGAGAGGAUGAUCAGACACACUGGGACUGAGAAACGGCCCAAACUCCAACGGGAGGCAGCAGUGAGGAAUAUUGGACAAUGGGCGCAAGCCUGGUCCAGCCAUGCCGCGUGAGUGAUGAAGGCCUUCGGGUUGUAAAGCUCUUUCGCACACGACGAUGAUGACGGUAGUGCGAGAAGAAGCCCCGGCCAACUUCGUGCCAGCCGCCGCAGUAACAC